rnacentral:rRNA from 1 species
UUGUCGUCAGCUCGUGUCGUGAGAUGUUGGUUAAGUCCGCACGAGCGCAACCCCUAUUGUUAGUUGCCAUCAUUCAGUUGGGCACUCUAGCGAGACUGCCGGUAAUAAACCGGAGGAAGGUGGGGAUGACGUCAAAUCAUCAUGCCCCUUAUGACCUGGGCUACACACGUGCUACAAUGGUUGGUACAACGAGUUGCGAGUCGGUGACGGCGAGCUAAUCUCUUAAAGCCAAUCUCAGUUCGGAUUGUAGGCUGCAACUCGCCUACAUGAAGUCGGAAUCGCUAGUAAUCGCGGAUCAGCACGCCGCGGUGAAUACGUUCCCGGGCCUU